UAGUCCACGCCGUAAACGAUGUCUACUAGCUGUUCGUUCUGUUAAGGAGUGAGUGGCGCAGCUAACGCACUAAGUAGACCGCCUGGGGAGUACGGCCGCAAGGUUAAAACUCAAAUGAAUUGACGGGGGCCCGCACAAGCGGUGGAGCAUGUGGUUUAAUUCGAUGCAACGCGAAGAACCUUACCAUCCCUUGACAUCCUGAGAAGGUCUUAGAGAUAGGACUGUGCCUUCGGGAACUCAGAGACAGGUGCUGCAUGGCUGUCGUCAGCUCGUGUUGUGAAAUGUUGGGUUAAGUCCCGCAACGAGCGCAACCCUUAUCCUUAGUUGCCAGCACGUAAUGGUGGGAACUCUAGGGAGACUGCCGGUGAUAAACCGGAGGAAGGUGGGGACGACGUCAAGUCAUCAUGGCCCUUACGGGAUGGGCUACACACGUGCUACAAUGGCAAGUACAAAGGGCAGCGAGACCGCGAGGUGGAGCGAAUCCCAUAAAGCUUGUCGUAGUCCGGAUUGG
rnacentral:rRNA from 1 species